UGGUGGGGCACCUCACUGGGUGAGAUAUCUAGAUCAUUCCACUCAUAUUGUCCUUUACUCUCCAGAGGCCUUCGUGUGCUUAAUGAAUGUGACUUGUGGCCUCCCUGUACAUCCCUCUGCCACACUGGAAGCUCCUCGGGGCAGGAACCUGUUGGGAGCAUCCCUUCCUCCCUCAUCCUUGGCACCAAGCACAGCCUCACACACCCACCGUUCACUGUGUGCUAGCUGUGCCAGGGGUGUAUCCCGAAGAGAAGAAAGGACCCACCGCAGCCGUCCAUCCAGAUGUGCCACGGAUCCAGGUGACAGCGUGUGAACGAAGAUGCCCGAGAUGCACUGGAAGUAGGGGACGCUGCACAGGCCAAUCCCCAGGCCAACGCCAGCCUCUGGAAUGCAGAACGGGGAAGGCCUGCUCCAUGGACUUCAGCGAGGGCCCAAUUGGCUAUGGCCACUGAGUAUUUGUACCAGAGAUGCCUGAAGGCUCAACAGGUUUAUGGUCCAGUAGAGGAGCUAAGACAUACACCAGGCAAGUGAUUCAUUGCACCCCCGGCCCCCAUUUCCACACACAUUGCUCCACACAAAUCUCUCCCUCUGGUUUCCCAGCCUCUGUUUGAAACCACCUUCUUCCUCUCCGUCUUUGAAUCCUACCCUCUUCCAUUUGCCCACCUUGCACCAGCCAUGCUGGCCUUCCCUUUGUUCCCAGAACACCUGCUCACCACUGUGCUUGGAGCCCAGCUCUGCACCUGACACUGCCCCUUGUCCUUCCAGGCUCCGCCCAGCUGCAUUUGGCAGAGAAGGCCUCCAGAACCUUCUAGAAUUAGCCAUCCACCUGGGGUCACAGGGUGAAUGGCUGCAUAUCCCUGAAUGUCAGCUUGAUUAAAAAUCAAACAAACCAAA